rnacentral:sRNA from 1 species
GACUUCGAAGGUUCGAAUCCUUCCCCCACCACCAUCCUCUCGUUGCUGAUACGCAUUGGGUUAAAGCGAAUCAGAAAGGGAAGGAUAACGUGCUUUAGCGCGGCCCGAAGGGUGAGGAACGAAGUGACGAAUAAUCCUUCCCCCACCACCA